rnacentral:rRNA from 1 species
AGUGAACGCUGGCGGUAGGCCUAACACAUGCAAGUCGAACGGCAGCACAGGAGAGCUUGCUCUCUGGGUGGCGAGUGGCGGACGGGUGAGGAAUACAUCGGAAUCUACUCUGUCGUGGGGGAUAACGUAGGGAAACUUACGCUAAUACCGCAUACGACCUACGGGUGAAAGCAGGGGACCUUCGGGCCUUGCGCGAUUGAAUGAGCCGAUGUCGGAUUAGCUAGUUGGCGGGGUAAAGGCCCACCAAGGCGGCGAUCCGUAGCUGGUCUGAGAGGAGGAUCAGCCACACUGGAACGGAGACACGGUCCAGACUCCUACGGGAGGCAGCAGUGGGGAAUAUUGGACAAUGGGCGCAAGCCUGAUCCAGCCAUACCGCGUGGGUGAAGAAGGCCUUCGGGUUGUAAAGCCCUUUUGUUGGGAAAGAAAUCCAGCUGGCUAAUACCCGGUUGGGAUGACGGUACCCAAAGAAUAAGCACCGGCUAACUUCGUGCCAGCAGCCGCUGUAA